GACGAACGCUGGCGGCGUGCUUAACACAUGCAAGUCGAACGGAAAGGCCCUGCUUUUGUGGGGUGCUCGAGUGGCGAACGGGUGAGUAACACGUGAGGAACCUGCCCUUGACUUUGGGAUAACUUCAGGAAACUGGGGCUCAUACCGGAUAGGAUCUCCUGCUGCAUGGUGGGGGUUGGAAAAUUUCGGCGGUUGGGGAUGGACUCGCGGCUUAUCAGCUUGUUGGUGGGGUAGUGGCUUACCAAGGCUUUGACGGGUAGCCGGCCUGAGAGGGUGACCGGCCACAUUGGGACUGAGAUACGGCCCAGACUCCUACGGGAGGCAGCAGUGGGGAAUAUUGCACAAUGGGCGGAAGCCUGAUGCAGCAACGCCGCGUGCGGGAUGACGGCCUUCGGGUUGUAAACCGCUUUCGCCUGUGACGAAGCGUGAGUGACGGUAAUGGGUAAAGAAGCACCGGCUAACUACGUG
rnacentral:rRNA from 1 species